rnacentral:misc_RNA from 1 species
GAUGAAGAACGUAGCGAAAUGCGAUACGUAGUGUGAAUUGCAGAAUUCAGUGAAUCAUCGAAUCUUUGAACGCACAUUGCACCUCUCGGUAUUCCGGGAGGUAUGCCUGUUCGAGCGUCAUUUGUACCCUCAAGCUCUGCUUGGUGUUGGGUGUUUGUUCCGCCUCUGUGUGUGAACUCGCCUCAAAACAAUUGGGAGCCGGCGUACUUGUUUCGGAGCGCAGCACAUUUUGCGAUCCAGAUCAACGUACAGCGGCAUCCAAGAAGCCUUAUUUAACGCUCUUGACCUCGGAUCAGGUAGGGAUACCCGCUGAACUUAAGCAUAUCAAUAAGCGGAGGA